rnacentral:rRNA from 1 species
UACGUAGGGUGCAAGCGUUGUCCGGAAUUAUUGGGCGUAAAGAGCUCGUAGGCGGUUUGUCGCGUCGGCUGUGAAAACCCGGGGCUCAACCCCGGGCCUGCAGUCGAUACGGGCAAACUAGAGUGUGGUAGGGGAGACUGGAAUUCCUGGUGUAGCGGUGAAAUGCGCAGAUAUCAGGAGGAACACCGGUGGCGAAGGCGGUGGUCUGGGCCGGCACUGACGCUGAGGAGCGAAAGCGUGGGGAGCAAACAGG